rnacentral:lncRNA from 1 species
AAUUUUAUAUUUUAGCACAUAUGUAGGUAAACUGCACCAUAGUAUUGUGUGAGAUUUGGUAUUAUAGAUCGGAGAAUAUAUAUUAAGGUCAAACUCUAUAAUCUGCACUUAAAAGUUGAAACAAAUUCAUGUAUAGAUAAUACAGUAUACAAAAAACUUAGCAUUUAGAUAACACAUAAUGAUGGCAUCAAACAAGAGAUACUUGUCUUGUUGACAGUAGGGAUAUAAAACAUUGUUUUAUAUAUAUAUAUACCGGUAUAUUACUGCUAACAACACAGAAUUAAUUUGACACACCAGAGCAUUGUAUACAGAACCAUACAGAUAUUAGAGAAUAUAUUACAAUAAAUCUCAGGUGGGUAAAACUUGAUCAAUGUCUUCCUGAUUUCUAUUGAAUGCAUUUUAAUGCAACAUUUGCAUAAGUAUGUCAAAGUCUUUAUUGAAAACUAAGUCAAUAUUA